GUGUGUGUGUGUGUGUGUCCUAUAUGUCCACAAUAAGAUCACCAUUAGGAGUAACAGAGCUGACUGAAGGAGGUGCUAUCUCUCUUGGGCUCUCAGUGUGAAAAUGAUUAUGUGAAACAGCACUGAUCGGUGCACCUGAAGAUCAGUCACGCUGCUGAAGAUUAGUGCACCUGAAGAUCAGUCACCUGAAGAUCAGUCACACUGCUGAAGAUUAGUCACACUGCUGAAGAUUAGUCACACUGCUGAAGAUUAGUCACACUGCUGAAGAUUAGUCACGCUGCUGAAGGUCACGCUGCUGAAGAUUAGUCACACUGCUGAAGAUUAGUCACACUGCUGAAGAUUAGUCACGCUGCUGAAGGUCACGCUGCUGAAGGUCACGCUGCUGAAGAUCAGUCACACUGCUGAAGAUUAGUCACACUGCUGAAGAUCAGUCACACUGCUGAAGAUUAGUCACACUGCUGAAGAUUAGUCACACUGCUGAAGAUUAGUCACGCUGCUGAAGGUCACGCUGCUGAAGGUCACGCUGCUGAAGAUUAGUCACCUGAAGAUUUGUCACGCUGCUGAAGAUUAGUCACACUGCUGAAGAUCAGUACACCUGAAGAUAAGUCACACUGCUGAAGAUCAAUACACCUGAAGAUAAGUCACGCUGCUGAAGAUCAGUCACGCUGCUGAAGAUCAAUACACCUGAAGAUUAGUCACACUGCUGAAGAU
ensembl:lncRNA